rnacentral:rRNA from 1 species
CAUGUCUAAGUUUAAGCAAUCUAUACGGUGAAACUGCGAAUGGCUCAUUAAAUCAGUUAUCGUUUAUUUGAUAGUACCUUACUACUUGGAUAACCGUGGUAAUUCUAGAGCUAAUACAUGCUAAAAACCUCGACUUCGGAAGGGGUGUAUUUAUUAGAUAAAAAACCAAUGCCCUCCGGGGCUCCUUGGUGAUUCAUGAUAACUCGACGAAUCGCAUGGCCUUGCGCCGGCGAUGGUUCAUUCAAAUUUCUGCCCUAUCAACUUUCGAUGGUAGGAUAGUGGCCUACCAUGGUUUCAACGGGUAACGGGGAAUUAGGGUUCUAUUCCGGAGAGGGAGCCUGAGAAACGGCUACCACAUCCAAGGAAGGCAGCAGGCGCGCAAAUUACCCAAUCCCGACACGGGGAGGUAGUGACAAUAAAUACUGAUGCGGAGCUCUUUAGGGUUUCGCAAUUGGAAUGAGUACAAUUUAAAUCCCUUAACGAGGAACAAUUGGAGGGCAAGUCUGGUGCCAGCAGCCCGCGGUAAUUCCAGCUCCAAUAGCGUAUAUUAAAGUUGUUGCAGUUAAAAAGCUCGUAGUUGAACCUUGGGCCUGGCUGGCCGGUCCGCCUCACCGCGUGCACUGGUCCGGCCGGGCCUUUCCUUCCGGGGAGCCGCAUGCCCUUCACUGGGUGUGCCGGGGAACCGGGACUUUUACUUUGAAAAAAUUAGAGUGUUCAAAGCAGGCAUAUGCUCGGAUACAUUAGCAUGGAAUAAUGGAAUAGGACGUGCGGUUCUAUUUUGUUGGUUUUUGGAAUCGCCGUAAUGAUUAAUAGGGAC